AAGUCGUAACAAGGUUUCCGUAGGUGAACCUGCGGAAGGAUCAUUAUCCAUCUCAACCAGGUGCGGUCGCGGCCCCCGGGGUCUAUGAACCCGGGUGGUAGGGGUAACACCUUCACGCGCCGCGCUCCUGAAUCCUUUUUUUACGAGCACCUUUCGUUCUCCUUCGGCGGGGCAACCUGCCGUUGGAAUCAUAUAAAACCUUUUUUGCAUCUAGCAUUACCUGUUCUGAUACAAACAAUCGUUACAACUUUUAACAACGGAUCUCUUGGCUCUC
rnacentral:misc_RNA from 1 species